GAAAGUUAGUGACAUUCUGUAGAAAGCAGAACUUCCGCAAGGACACGAAACUAGGUGCUGCAUGGCUGUCGUCAGCUCGUGCCGUGAGGUGUUGGGUUAAGUCCCCGUAACGAGCGCAACCCCUAUCAUUAGUUGCCAUCAGGUCAUGCUGGGGACUCUAAUGAGACUGCCCGCGCAAGCGGUGAGGAAGGUGGGGACGACGUCAAGUCAUCACGGCCCUUACGUCCAGGGCUACACACGUGCUACAAUGGUAGAUACAGCAGGUUGCCACAUGGUAACAUGGAGCUAAUCCCAAAAGUCUAUCUCAGUUCGGAUUGAGGUCUGCAACUCGACCUCAUGAGGCUGGAUUCGCUAGUAAUCGAAAAAUCAGCAAUGUUUCGGUGAAUACGUUCCCGGGCCUU
rnacentral:rRNA from 1 species